rnacentral:rRNA from 1 species
UCCUGGCUCAGAUUGAACGCUGGCGGCGUGCCUAACACAUGCAAGUCGAGCGGUAGCAGGCGUAGCAAUACGUGCUGACGAGCGGCGAACGGGUGAGCAAUGCUUCGGAAUCUGCCCAAUGGUGGGGAAUAACCAGCCGAAAGGUUGGCUAAUACCGCAUACGCCCUACGGGGGAAAGCAGGGGGAUCGCAAGACCUUGCGCCGAUGGAUGAGCCGAAGUCGGAUUAGCUAGUUGGUAGGGUAACGGCCUACCAAGGCGACGAUCCGUAGCUGGUCUGAGAGGACGACCAGCCACACUGGGACUGAGACACGGCCCAGACUCCUACGGGAGGCAGCAGGUGGGGAAUAUUGGAACAAGUGGGACGAAAGCCUGAUCCAGCGACGCCGCGUGUGUGAAGAAGGCCUGGCGGGUUAGUAAAGCACUUUUAGUGGGGAUGAAAAGCCUAGAGCUAAUACCUCUGGGUCUUGACCUAACCCACAGAAAAAGCACCGGCUAACUCUGUG